rnacentral:lncRNA from 1 species
AUUCCCACUCCCAUGCAAAUACCUAAUGUAACACCCAAGACCCUAAUCCUAAGAACUAGCUAGAAGCCGCACCCCAAAAAGUCUCCACACCUCUACCGCCCCCAAUUUCCAAAAUCAAAUACUCCCAAAGGUUAGCUUUCUCCCCAAAAAAUCGAAUACCCCAAGGACCUAGGACCGGCGGCCACACACACGCACAUACAUAAUUGGGGGAUAGACAUUAGAGAGAUUAGAGGACAGAAAUGUUUGAGCUAAAGAGAGGAUGCGGAAAAGAACAGCAAAAACAGAGGAAAGAAACGGAGAGCAAGAGUGAGAGUCCAAAAAUAAGAGAUUUCGGGAGAGAAAAAAUCGGACAGAAAAUUGAGAGGAAACUUGGGUUUCAAGAAUUCUUCAAGCUCCUUUCCUUAGUUUUCGAUCCUUUAAAAUUUCAGAAAAACAACAAAAACACAAUUUUUUUACCUUUUAUGUUUCUUCUUUUCUAUUUCAAUUUUGGUUGCGAAAAAAUGGAGUUUGAUUGAAAUUUGAGGUUUGGUCGUGUUCGAGCUCCAGAUUUUCGGUGCCGUUCGAGUUUUGUUACUGGUUUGCGGUCCCUGCUCGAUUUUGUUACUGCUGUUUUUCAUCUUCCUUUCGAGUUCAAACGUCGAAAUUCUCAUUAAGUUGUAAUCGUCAGAGAUUCAAAUAUAUUGGAAAGCAAUUCAGGUCCAUCUUUUCUCCUCUUCUCUAUUAUUUGCGAUGUUACUUUCGUGGUUGUGAUUGAAAUAUGUUGCUGGUCUAUUCUCUUAGUUUUUGUUGAUUUUAUAUGUGUUCGUCGAGUUUAUUAUACGUCUCAAUUCUGGUUUUUGGAUUUAGUUCAUUAAUCGAAAAUUUUGGGUUUGAACUUUAUUCAUGAGCAUUGGUUCUUUAGUUUCCUUCUGUAUGAUGCUUUUACUAUAUAUUUGAACUUACUUUAUUUUUACUUCUAAAGAGAAAUAUAUUAUGAUCUCCAAUUCUAUACAACUGUUGUGUUGAAUUUGUGCUGAAUAUUAAAAGUUAAUUUACUAAGAAAAAUGAUGGCACAUUAAUCUAAUUCACGUGAUGCUUCUGCUGGGCUAACACACAUAUUCUUUUCUCAUGGAAAGUUAUUUUGAAUUUUGUCCUUUGCUAAAGAUUUCAAGAGUAGAGUGCUCAUUAUGUGGAAGUCAGUUCUGAAUCUAAAGCUAUGAUGGCCAGUGCCAUAUUUUAAGUCACCUUUUAAAUCUGUUUUUGUUGUUCCCAUUUCUUAUGCUUAGGAUGUUCGUAUGUUUAGGUGUUUCAUUUGUCAUUUUGGUAUAUAUUCGUUUGGAAUGAAAUUAGACUGUGGGAGAAGUUUAAAGGCCAGGCCCAUUAGUGAUUAAACUGUUUACAUGCUUUAAGAUUGGGUUCGGUCUAAAUACAUGAAAAGGAUAAGUAAGAGGAUACGAGCAUGAAUUAAAAUUUCCUUUUAUUUAGUUCUCUUUUAUUUACUUUAUUUAUUAUAUGUAACGACCCGACUUGUCGUUUCAAGAAUUAAUGCCUCGUUCAGUGAUUUAAGGACUCGAGAAGUUUUUCAAUAUGUAUUAUGACCCACGGGUAUGGUCGAUUUUGAUUUUCGGAAAAUUCAGAAUUAAAUUAAAAGAAUAAUUCUUAUUUAGAAGCUUAAAUGGAAAGAGUUCACCGGAGAGUUGACUUUUGAGCAAACGAUCCCGGAAUAGAAUUUCGAUGAUGGCAAUAGCUUCGUAUGAUGAUUUCGGACUUAGGCGCAUGUUCGGAUUUUGAUUUGGAAGCCCGUAGGUCAAUUCGACGCAUUUUGGCGAAAGUUGAAAAAUAUAAGAUUUUUGGAAGAAUCCGACAGAAGGUUAAAUUUUUUAUAACGAGGUCGGAUUUCAAUUCCGGAAAUUGGAAUAGCUCCAUUACAUCAUUUAUGACUUGUGUUCAAAAUUUGAAGUCAUUCCGGAUUGAUUUGAUAUGUUUCGGCGCAAAAUAUAGAAGUCGGAAGAUUUGAAAAUUUAAAAUUUGAUUCAAUGCGCGAUUCGUAAUUUCGGCGUUGUUUGACGUGAUUUGAAGCCUCGACUAAGUUUGUAUUGUAUUUUAGGAUGUGUGGUAUGUUCGAACAGGGUCUCGAGUGGCUCAGGUGAGUUUCGAGGUGGUUUCGGACCAUUUCUAGGUCAUUUUUAGUUGCUGGUUUUUUGCCACAGAGGUAAGCAUCGCGAUCGCGGACAAACGGUCACGAUCAUGAAGAGAAAUAUUGCUGUUUGGACACUGUGAAUCGCGAUCGCGGAAGCCUUUUCGCGAUCGCAUAGAGGAAAAUCAUGCUGCACUCACCCGAUUUUGGAAGCUAAUAUCUCACAACCUAUAAGGAAUUUGUAGAUGAUUCAAAAAUAAAAGUUGUAGCCCUUUGUGUCUAAUUUUUUAGAAAGGUAAACCAUUUGUCAUUUGGAGUUGUGUACAAAAAGUUAUGGCGGAUAAACUAUAUGCUGUCUAGGAAGAGUUUGGAAAUCUCUGUUGCACAGGGCUGACUUGAAAUCUUAUAUCUAGCAAUUUAUAAGGAAUUAAGAGAUGAACAACAAAUGAAAGUUAUAUCCCUUGGUGUCUAGUUUUCAGAAAGUUAAACCAUUUAUAAUUUGGAGUUUUGUACCAAAGGUUAUGACCAUUAUACUAGAGGCUAUCUAGAAGAGCUGGACACUUGUUUUUCGCGAUCGCGAAGCAUUUUAAGCGAUCGCAAAAGGCAAAUUUUGGGCUGAGAAAAGUUGUGCUUCGCAAUCACGAAGCAUUUUCCGCGAUCGCAGAAAGUAAAUAUAUGGGCAGUAGCUAUAUUUCGAGGUUUCAGCCAUUUUUAACAUAUUUGGAGCUAUAGAGUUCGGAUUAAAGCGAUGUUUGAGACGAUUUUCACCAUAUGGAUUGGGGUAAGUGUUCUAUAUCCAAAAGUGAUUAUACUUCAGGAUUCUAUGGUUAUAUUUAUCAUUUAUUUUGAAUUUAAAUAGAAAAGAUCAAGAUUUUUGCAAAACAUUUCAAAAACAAAAAUUUAAGAUUUGGAGGUCGAGUUGUUAUCGGAACUUGAUAAAAUUUAUAUGGUUGAACUAGUAUCGGAAUGUGUGUUCGGAUUUCAUCAAAAUUAUAUUGGGUUCCGAGAGGCGAGCCCCGCGUUGACUUUUGUUGACUUUUUUGGAAUAAAUUUUUAAGUCGAUGUAUUAUUAUCCAUAAUUGUUUCCAAUGAAUUUUAAUGAGGUUGUACAAUAAAUUUGGAUAGAUUUGAGCUGUACAGAGGUCAAUUCAAGCAAGAAGACUAUUUUGGAAUAUCGUCGUAACUUCAAAAAGGUAAGUAUCUUGCCUAACCUUGAGUGGGGGAAUUAUCCCUUAGGCAUCGAGUCUUAUGUGCCAUUUGUGAAAUGUGAAAAGCCGUGUACGCGAGGUGACGAGUACGUACUCAGGCUUAUAUGUGUAAAAUAUAUUGGGUUAAAGUCUUAGGCCUAUUGUGUAGUAAAUUGUAUAACCGCUGACAUUUAUUAAAUCAUCUAUUUGCCAUGCCUCAAUUCGUGUUUGUUAAAUUUAUUUUUAUAUGACAAUUUGAUGUGAUUAUUACUUGUAUAUUUAUGUGAAAUUCGUGAGUUUGAUGAUUUGAUAUUUCUUGGAAUUUAAUUUUAUUAUGGAUUUUCCAUCUGCAAAUAAUUAAUGAAAUAAGUUUAAACCGAAGCGUUAUAUAAUUAUCAAGAAUUUGAAUUAUAAAGGCUGUGAAUCAUAUUGAGGCAAAGUGCCGAAUUGUGAAAUAUUAUUCGGUUGAGUUAUUCACUCCCGAAUAUUUUGUUAAGAUGUUGUGCUCAUUAUGGCCGAGCCGUGGGCUUCUUAUUGUGAAAAGAAUAAUAUAUUGUUGAAAUUUGUGAUAUGUUGUAAUAUUUGAGUACUUGAUGAUCCAUUUGUGAUAUGUGAGCACUUGAUGUGCAGUUGUUGAAAUCAUAUUUACUUUGGGACUACGGAACGGUAUUCUGGGAGAUCCCCAUACAUAUUUACUUUGGGACUACAGAACGGUAUUCCGGGAGAUCCUCCCUUGUCUUGCAUAUUUACUUUGGGACUACGGAACGGUAUUUCGGGAGAUCUCCCUGUCUUGCAUAUUUACUUUUGAGACUACGAGGCGGUACCUCGGGAAUGCCGUUUUGUUGAUAUUGUUCUAUGGAUGCACUUACCGUUGGUUAUUUUAUUUUUUCGUGAUAUGUAAAUUCUUGUCUUCUUCGGUGAUGUACUAGUUGACUUUAUUAUUAUGUGUUUUGUACUCCUUAUUGUAUUGUGUUGGCUUUGGCUUUUUAGUACGAGACUCUGGAGAUUUAUAUUUCUGGUUUUUAUUGAUUUUUGAUGACUGAAUUGUUUUAAAUAAAAGAAAAUUUCUAUUAUGUUUUAUAUUGAUAAGUAUUACAUCCAAAUAAGUAGUUUAUCUG